UACGUAGGGUGCAAGCGUUAAUCGGAAUUACUGGGCGUAAAGCGUGCGCAGGCGGCUUUGCAAGACAGAUGUGAAAUCCCCCGGGCUCAACCUGGGAACUGCAUUUGUGACUGCAAGGCUAGAGUACGGUAGAGGGGGAUGGAAUUCCGCGUGUAGCAGUGAAAUGCGUAGAUAUGCGGAGGAACACCGAUGGCGAAGGCAAUCCCCUGGACCUGUACUGACGCUCAUGCACGAAAGCGUGGGGAGCAAACAGG
rnacentral:rRNA from 1 species